rnacentral:rRNA from 1 species
UAUCCCCAAGAACAAAGAACGAAGAAAAUCACAGUACUGGAACAGGCACUUUGGCCCUCCAACCCUACAUUGAUCCAGAUCCUCUGACUAAAUGUGUCGUCUAUUUUGUAAGGGUCUGUAUCGCUUUGGUCCCUGCCCAUUCAUGUAUCUGUUUAGAUACACCUUAAAUGACAUUAUCAUUCCCGGCUCUACCACCUCCACUUGCAAUGCCUUCCAGGCACCCACCGCCCUCUGUGUGAAGACCUUUCCACGUAUAUCUCUGUUAAACCUUUCCGUUCUCACUUUGAAUUCCUCAUUCAAUUGAGUCCCUCAUUCUGCGAAAAAGCUGCUUGCUAUCCAGUCUGUCGAUACCCCUCAUGGUUUUGUAGACUUCAAUCAGGUCCCCCACUUAACUUCCUUAUUUCUAAUGAGAAUAAUUCGAACCUACUCAACCUUUCUUCAUAGCUAGUGCCUCCCAUGCCAGGUAAUAUCCUGGUGAAGCUCCUCUGCACCCUUUCAAAGCAUCCAUAUGUUUUUGGUAAUGCGUUGAUCGGAACUGUACAUAGUAUUCCAAAUGUGGCCAAAUCAAACCCUUACUCAACUGUAACAUGACCUGUCAGGUGUUGCACUCAAUACACCGUCAUGCUGCAUGCUGCCAAGGCUGGUCACUGCGGUUGGCAGGUGGGUGCUAUGCUGGUCUGGGUCAUUUUCGUCUGGCAAGGAACAGACUGAGAAAUAAUAUAAACACAUACUACUCUCAGAGGUGGGUCACUCGCCUUGUGCAGUCGAUGAAUGACACAGCUCGCUGUGCAAGUGAAUUUGAAGAGCAGCACACAUUCGUCAUUGGCACUUUAAACACACUUUAUCGGCUGGGGGAACACUCUGUCGCUUGAGCCUCAGUGUGUGGGGAUGGCCAGUAGGAGAGUUCAAAGGGUCAGAGGCCCUGGAGUCAUGGUUCUGACCCCCAGUCGAGUGCCAACCUGCGUUGGCAUGAGGUUAUUUCAUACAAAAGAACUGAAACCUCAGUCUGUCCACUCCACCCCGAAGAUCGACUGGAAUGAUGUAACACCAGAGGACUGCCGCGAUGCCAGUGACCCACCCGACCAGUUUCAAAACACGUACUAAGGAGUCGAACACAUGCGCAAGUCAAAGGGCAUUCAUGACAUCCUAUGGCCAAAUGAAGGGAAAGGUCAGCAGGGGUCGACCGAGGUGUGAUACUGCACCCCCGCGGCGGGCACAUCAUUGGCCUGUCUCACCCACACCAUCAGGAGGUGGAGCACGGGUGCACGUGUUAGGACCCAAAAGAUGGUUGGGCAGGGCGAAGCCAGAGGAAAGUCUGGUGGAGGUCUGUAGCGGUCCUGAUGCGUAAAUUGGUCAUCCGACCUUGGUCUGGGAUGGAAGACAAAUUGAACCAUCUUGUUGUGGUUCCCUUUGAAGUUUCCCUCAGGAUAGCUGGGUCUCAUCUGCCAUGCAGCCUUACUCGCGAAAGCGAAUCAUUAGAGUCAUUGUUGCUGAAAUUUUCUGAAUCUAUUCUCAAACUUUAAAUAGAUAAGAAGCCCAACUCGCUGGCUUGGAACUGGGCGUGGAAUGCGAGUGCCCAAUGGGCCACUUUAGGUCAGCAGAACGGGCGCUGAAGGAUGAAUCGAACGCUGGGUUAAGGUGCAAAGUUCCAAACCUCAUCAGACCCCAAAAAAGGUGAUGGUUGAUAUAGGUAGCAGAACGACCGCCAUGGAAGUCAGACUCCACUAACGCGUGUGCAACAACUAACCUGCCAAAUCAACUAACCCAAAAAAUGGAUAAGCUGGAGCAUCAGACCCAUACCCAGCCAUCGUUAGAAAUCUAGAGCCCAUGGGGGCUACGCUGUGACGAGUAGGAGGAUUGCUGCAAUAAGCAUGGAAGCCUAGGGUGUGGGACAAGUUAGGGCUGCCUGGUGCAGACCUUGGUGGUAGUUGCAAAUAUUAAAACGAGAACUUUGAAAUUGGGAAGGGUUCCAUGUGAACAGCAGUUGAACACGGGUCAGUCGGUCCGAAGAGGCGACUGUUGUUAUUGCCGGGAAUUUGUCUUGCAAACGUUUCGUCCCCUGUCUAGGUGACAUCCUCAGUGCUUGGGAGCCUCCUGUGAGGCAAUUCUGUGCUGAUUCCUCCGGCAUUUAUAGU